UGCAGUCGAGCGGACAGAUGGGAGCUUGCUCCCUGAUGUUAGCGGCGGACGGGUGAGUAACACGUGGGUAACCUGCCUGUAAGACUGGGAUAACUCCGGGAAACCGGGGCUAAUACCGGAUGGUUGUUUGAACCGCAUGGUUCAAACAUAAAAGGUGGCUUCGGCUACCACUUACAGAUGGACCCGCGGCGCAUUAGCUAGUUGGUGAGGUAACGGCUCACCAAGGCAACGAUGCGUAGCCGACCUGAGAGGGUGAUCGGCCACACUGGGACUGAGACACGGCCCAGACUCCUACGGGAGGCAGCAGUAGGGAAUCUUCCGCAAUGGACGAAAGUCUGACGGAGCAACGCCGCGUGAGUGAUGAAGGUUUUCGGAUCGUAAAGCUCUGUUGUUAGGGAAGAACAAGUACCGUUCGAAUAGGGCGGUACCUUGACGGUACCUAACCAGAAAGCCACGGCUAACUACGUGCCAGCAGCCGCGGUAAUACGUAGGUGGCAAGCGUUGUCCGGAAUUAUUGGGCGUAAAGGGCUCGCAGGCGGUUUCUUAAGUCUGAUGUGAAAGCCCCCGGCUCAACCGGGGAGGGUCAUUGGAAACUGGGGAACUUGAGUGCAGAAGAGGAGAGUGGAAUUCCACGUGUAGCGGUGAAAUGCGUAGAGAUGUGGAGGAACACCAGUGGCGAAGGCGACUCUCUGGUCUGUAACUGACGCUGAGGAGCGAAAGCGUGGGGAGCGAACAGGAUUAGAUACCCUGGUAGUCCACGCCGUAAACGAUGAGUGC
rnacentral:rRNA from 1 species